AGUAGAAAUUUAGAGCUGAAAUGGAAAUUAGGUGUUAUCUAUUCAGCUUCUUUUCUUCUUCAGCAGAGGGAACAGAGGUCUACAGAGGUGAUGUAUUGGCCAUGUUCCUACAUCUCAUCGAUUACAGAGAUACUGCGCUCACAAUGCAUCCUAACAGGAUGGCAGUGAUGGAGUAUAACACUGAUGUGUGGAAGGAUUGAUGUCAGCCCUUGAUCUUAUUUUGCCAAGGUAAGAGUGUUUCUUGCUUGGUGUUUUCAAAGCCACUGGUCUUAGAUCAAUGCUAUUGAAGCUGUUAGCUCACUGUCAUUUGAAAAUUCUUUCCUUUUUUGUUAGGGCCUGAAAUAACUCAAUGACUAAGGAAUUCCUU
rnacentral:lncRNA from 1 species